rnacentral:rRNA from 1 species
UACAGAGGUCUCAAGCGUUGUUCGGAUUCAUUGGGCGUAAAGGGUGUGUAGGUGGCGCUGUAAGUCGGGUGUGAAAUCUCGGGGCUUAACCCGGAAAGGUCAGCCGAUACUGCGGGGCUAGAGUGCAGAAGGGGCAACUGGAAUUCUCGGUGUAGCGGUGAAAUGCGUAGAUAUCGAGAGGAACACCUGCGGCGAAGGCGGGUUGCUGGGCUGACACUGACGCUGAUGCGCGAAAGCUAGGGGAGCGAACGGG